rnacentral:rRNA from 1 species
GACGAACGCUGGCGGCGUGCUUAACACAUGCCAGUCGAACGGAAAGGCCCUGCUUUUGUGGGGUGCUCGAGUGGCGAACGGGUGAGUAACACGUGAGUAACCUGCCCUUGACUUUGGGAUAACUUCAGGAAACUGGGGCUAAUACCGGAUAGGAGCUCCUGCUGCAUGGUGGGGGUUGGAAAGUUUCGGCGGUUGGGGAUGGACUCGCGGCUUAUCAGCUUGUUGGUGGGGUAGUGGCUUACCAAGGCUUUGACGGGUAGCCGGCCUGAGAGGGUGACCGGCCACAUGGGGACUGAGAGACGGCCCAGACUCCAACGGGAGGCAGCAGUGGGGAAUAUUGCACAAUGGGCGGAAGCCUGAUGCAGCAACGCCGCGUGCGGGAUGACGGCCUUCGGGUUGUAAACCGCUUUCGCCUGUGACGAAGCGUGAGUGACGGUAAUGGGUAAAGAAGCACCGGCUAACUACGUG